UGUUAGGGUUAGGUUUUUUUUUCUUGUUGAGCGACACUAUUCACAAAGACACAAACAAACUCUCUCUCUCUUCUCUUCUGUCGGCGUAACAAAUCAACACCAUCAACUUAGCUUCAUCACUCUCAAUCGCACAAUCAACAGUUCAACACCAUCAAUCUCUUCUGUAAUUUCUAUUCGGUUCUCAUCUUCGUCAAGAGAAUAAAAGGUGAUUGAUGAGUUUAACAACAACUAUAUGUAGAAAGGUUACCAUUACUUUACUGUGUUAUAAUGGACCGAAAGAUAUUAUCUAAGAGGCCUUAUUAUGGUGGGCUGCACAAGGAAAGAGUUAUCCAAUUCUGAUGACAAUGGCACGUGAUAUCCUAGCUAUUCCGGUCUCUUCCGUUGCUUCGGAGUCCGCAUUUAGCACGGGGGGUCGUGUUCUAGAUUCAUUUCGCACUUCUUUGAGUACUAGAAUGGUAGAAGCCCUUGUUUGCGGUCAAGAUUGGAUGCGUCAAACCAAUACACUUAUUACUAUAGAGGAAAACUUGCUGGAGUUGGAGAAUAUGGAAGAAGAAGGCAUGAAAGAUUUGGUUUUGGAGCAACCAACAAUAAUAAUCGAUGAGACACUUGAAGUUACGGACUUCACUAUUGCAUGAAAUGAUCCUGAUCUUAAAUUAAUUUGUGUUUGUUUUAUUUAGUUGAGUGUUAACAGUUAUUGAACGUUGUAAUAUUUUCUUUGCUUUUGUAAUUUAACAAGUUGAACUUUGUUAUGUAGUAGAGGAACUUUGUUAUGUAUACACUGCAGCCUAUAUCUACCUUUUAACAAGUUGAACGUUAUGUAGUAUUGAACAAGUUGAACCUUUGUUAUGUAUACACUGCAGCCUAUAUUUUCUUUGCUUUUGUAA